rnacentral:rRNA from 1 species
GAUGAACGCUGGCUACAGGCUUAACACAUGCAAGUCGAGGGGUAACGAGAGGAAAGCUUGCUUUCCUUGUCGACGACCGGCGCACGGGUGAGUAACGCGUAUCCAACCUGCCCCCAACUAGGGAAUAACCUUGCGAAAGUAAGACUAAUACCCUAUAAUUUCCUCAGAUGACAUCUGACGAGGAAUAAAGAUUUAUCGGUUGUGGAUGGGGAUGCGUCUGAUUAGCUUGUUGGCGGGGUAACGGCCCACCAAGGCAACGAUCAGUAGGGGUUCUGAGAGGAAGGUCCCCCACAUUGGAACUGAGACACGGUCCAAACUCCUACGGGAUGCAGCAGUGAUGAAUAUUGGUCAAUGGGCGGAAGCCUGAACCAGACAAGUAGCGUGCAGGAUUACGGCCCUAUGGGUUGUAAACUGCUUUUAUACAGGAAUAAAGUUAGCCACGUGUGGUUAUUUGUAGGUACUGUAUGAAUAAGGACCGGCUAAUUCCGUGCCAGCCGCCGCGGUAA